rnacentral:rRNA from 1 species
CCUACGGGGGGCAGCAGUGGGGGAUAUUGCACAAUGGGGGAAACCCUGAUGCAGCGACGCCGCGUGGGUGAAGAAGCGCCUCGGCGCGUAAAGCCCUGUCAGCAGGGAAGAAAAUGACGGUACCUGAAGAAGAAGCCCCGGCCAACUACGUGCCAGCAGCCGCGGUAAUACGUAGGGGGCAAGCGUUAUCCGGAUUUACGGGGGGUAAAGGGGGCGCAGACGGCGGUGCAAGCCAGGAGUGAAAGGCCGGGGCCCAACCCCGGGACUGCUCUUGGAACUGCGUGGCUAGAGUGCAGGAGGGGCAGGCGGAAUACCUGGUGUAGCGGUGAAAUGCGUAGAUAUCAGGAGGAACACCGGUGGCGAAGGCGGCCUGCUGGACUGCAACUGACGUUGAGGCCCGAAAGCGUGGGGAACAAACAGGAUUAGAUACCCUAGUAGUC